rnacentral:rRNA from 1 species
AGUGAACGCUGGCGGCAGGCCUAAUACAUGCAAGUCGAACGGCAGCACAGCAGAGCUUGCUCUGUGGGUGGCGAGUGGCGGACGGGUGAGGAAUACGUGGGAAUCUGCCCAGUCGUGGGGGAUAACGUAGGGAAACUUACGCUAAUACCGCAUGCGCCCUUCGGGGAAAGCCGGGGACCUUCGGGCCUGGCGCGAUUGGAUGAGCCCACGUCGGAUUAGCUAGUUGGCGGGGUAAAGGCCCACCAAGGCGACGAUCCGUAGCUGGUCUGAGAGGAUGAUCAGCCACACUGGAACUGAGACACGGUCCAGACUCCUACGGGAGGCAGCAGUAGGGAAUAUUGGACAAUGGGCGCAAAGCCUGAUCCAGCCAUGCCGCGUGAGUGAAGAAGGCCCUCGGGUUGUAAAGCUCUUUUGUUGGGGAAGAAAAGCAGUUGGUUAAUACCCGACUGUUCUGACGGUACCCAAAGAAUAAGCACCGGCUAACUUCGUGCCAGCAGCCGCGGUAAU